GGGUGAAGAUCUGGGAAAAACAGACAUUAGUCCCUUACCAUGGGGGAUUGGAAUUUAUUGGGUGGCAUGCUAGAGGAAGUUCACUCCCACUCAACCACGGUGGGGAAAAUCUGGCUGACCAUCCUCUUCAUUUUCCGGAUGCUGAUACUUGGUGUAGCUGCUGAAGAUGUCUGGGAUGAUGAACAGUCAGCAUUUGUCUGCAACACCCAGCAGCCAGGUUGCAACACUGUCUGUUACGAUGAUGCUUUCCCUAUCUCUUUGAUCAGGUUCUGGGUUUUACAGAUCAUCUUUGUGUCUUCUCCCUCUCUGGUAUAUAUGGGCCAUGCACUUUAUAGCCUCAGGGCCUUUGAAAAGGAGAGGCAGAGGAAAAAGUCACAGCUUAGAGCCCAGAUGGAGAAUCCAGAGCUUGAAUUGGAGGAGCAGCAAAAGAUAGAUAGAGAACUGAGGAAGCUGGAGGAGCAGAAGAAGAUCCAAAAAGUCCCUCUGAAAGGAUGUCUUCUGCGUACUUAUGUCUUACACAUCUUGACCAGAUCUGUGCUGGAAGUAGGGUUCAUGAUAGGCCAGUGUAUUCUCUAUGGGUUGCAAAUGCACCCCCUUUACAAAUGUACUCAACCUCCUUGCCCCAAUGCAGUGGAUUGCUUUGUGUCCAGGCCCACAGAGAAGACCAUUUUCAUGCUCUUUAUGCACAGCAUUGCAGCCAUCUCUUUGUUCCUCAACGUGCUGGAAAUAUUUCAUCUGGGGAUCAGGAAAAUCAUGAGGGCACUUUAUGACAAAUCCAGCAGUGAGGGCAUUGAGGACGAAAGGGGACCUCCAUCUCAUUUGAAAAGAUAUUCAGCGUCCCAGCAGUGUAUGAAUUGCUCUCUCUUCCCUGAAAGAGUCUCUCUACUUCAAGCCAGCAAUCAACAGCAAGUCUUCCGAGUCAAUGUGCCGAAUUCUAAAACCAUGUGGCAAAUCCCACAGCCCAGGCAACUUGAGGUAGACCCUUGCUGUAGUAAAAAAGACUGGGCUGAGGAGGAUCAGCACAGAGGACAGCUCCAUGUCCACAGCCCGUGUCCCUGGGAUGAUGGUGCUAGAAUUCAGCACUCGGGACAGCAACCAGACCGGUCUUCCUUUGGCUUGCAGACUACAACGCCCCAGUCCUGGCUCGGUACAACGAUGGCUCCUAGACAUUGUCCAUCAUGUACAACAGGACCCUGGGAGCAGUCCCAGGACCUGCAACCCUCAGGGGAGCCUCUCACAGAUCUACACAGUCACUGCAGACACAGCGAUGGCAGCAUGAGAGAGAGCAGAGUCCAGACAGACGGAUCUUGCCUGGGCAGUCGCAAGGCCAGCUUUCUGUCCAGAUUGCUGUCUGAAAAGGGACAGCUGUACAGUGACUCAGUAAGCUCCAGUUCUCGAAAUAGCUCUUGCCUGGGCUUUCCGCACUGGGAAAACAGCCCCUCACUUCUGCCUUCAGCCACUGAGCACAGAACAUCAAUGAACAUGCUUCUAGAACUUUCAUCCAUUAUGAAAAAAUAAUGCAUCCUGGGACCAGAAAAAACAGACUCAGGAGCAGCUGGCAUCUGCGAGAUAAAAGUUGUAUGUUUGUCAGCUCAAACUGCAGGAGGAACUCUGAGAACCAUCCCCUCCAGAACCAUGAAUCAGGCAAUGGCUGUGUAUCGGGGGCUCCCAGCUGGGCUCCCUGACCGCUGGGGUCAGCCUCUCACUGCUCUGCUUGGCCAUGCUGCCUGAGGCCGGUCCAGUGCUCUCCAUACACCAGGGAGGCACUCUACCCCAUCAGAGAAAAUCUAGGGGCAAGAGCCGCCAUCCGAGGGGAGGAGGAGUGAGAUGUGCUACCAUCCCUGCCAGUAGCUGGCUCUGCAGCGGCAGCAGUUUGGACCCUUGAACAUGGUUCCAGAGCAGGCUGGGAGCUCUGCCUGCAGCCUGGGCUCAACACGCUUCCUGUCUGUACACCAGAGGUUGGAGGGAAGCUUUUUGUUUUCUUCCUCUCAUCAGCUCAUUUCUUGGGGGUGAAGCAGCUGGAUGUUCGUCCCUAGAUGCUAUUACAUAAAAUAUUGAUUACAGCACUGGCUAACACUCGCAUCACAUGACUUUAUCCUUCUGCUGGGAUCGUCGUCAGUAGUGAUGCCAUGACUGUGGGCCAGCAGGUGCUGGGGAAUCUCAUUCCCAACUUCCAGGGGAGUGACUGAAGCCGGCACCACUUCCUCACCCUCCCCACCCUCCCAGUGGUCCCGAGCCAUCCAGGAGAGGUGCAUCAAAAAAGCACUGAACACUUCUUACAGAGCACAGAGGCAUGGAUGGCUGUGUGAUGUCCACUAACUAUCCAAUCGGUGAGGCUGGUUGGCUGGUCAUUACUGUCUGAGUUCUGAGAAUCAUAAAGGUGGACUUAAUUCCCAUGGAAGGAGCCACUUAGCCCUGUCCUCUAUCCCGUGGCCAGACUCUCCUAUCCCUGGCCACACACCUUGUAACAAAAGCUUCAAGUUAUUGGGAGAAUCAAUUUGUUCCAAAGACACAAAGGUCUGCAUCAUCUAUAUCCUGCUGAGAUAAAAUCCAUACUCCUUAGCCUGGCACGUAAAGCCUUCGUGGGCUGACUCCUGCCUCAUGUUCAUUCCCUACCUCCUGUGCCCUAACCCGGCUGCGCUAUGAGUAAAGCAGAUCGUCUUCCCAUUGUGGGUGACCAGCAGCCAAUCUGUUGAGGGCCUGCAUAGAAUAAAAAGGUGGAAGAAGAGUGAAUUUGCUUUCUCUAUUUGAGCUGGAACAUCAGUCUUCUCCCUUGGACUGAGACUUAUAUCAUUGGCUCUAUAGUUCUCAGAACUAUGCCACCGGCUUUCCUGGGCCUCCAGCUUGCAAAAGAGGAGGAAGUGAGGGGUGGAGAUGUGAAGAGGUGUGUGAUCUUUUCCACAAUGAAUUGGUAGAAGAGCCUGUGAAGACCAGGUGGAUGAAAACGAUGCUGGGGCCAAGCCCAGAUGGGUGCCAUUUUAAGGGGCAUACCAUAUUCCAGGUACUUAGGCCGCAUUAUCUAUACCACGUGCAACUGUGUAAAGUCAUUGUUUGUCCUCAUUUUAUAGAUCAGAGAAGGCUCAGAGAGAUCAAGUGACUUGCCCCACAGCUAAAUUCCAACUGAAGUGCCUGUUUUGCAGCUGGAACUCAGACCCAGAUCUAGUUGCUCUGAGGCCCAUGCUCCUCCCAGGAAGCCCUGCCCUCUCUCUUGUCUGUGACCAUCAGCAGCCCCUGCACAAUGAUUUGUUUGUACAUCUGUCUACCCGACUAGCCUGUGAAAGCUUUCAGGAUAAGGCUGUGCAUUUUAAAUCUUGGAUGCCCAGUAUGUAGCCCAGUGUUGGUUGAGUGCAUGCACGUUUAUGUAUAGAUGCCAAAGACCAGACGUUACCCAUCACUUGCAACCCUCCAGACUAAUCCUUAUUCCCUGGUGUCCUGUCCUGCCUUGUCCGCAGGUUUAUUAUGAGAGAUUCUUUCAAGAGCCUAUAUGGCAGUGUUCCCCACCUCCUCCAUACCUUUUCUUGUAAUUUAAAUUUCCUUUACUCUCAAAAGCCUUUAUAGGGUCAUCAACUGUACAGCACAAAUAGAGGUUAAAAAAAGAAGUUAAAAGGAUGCAGUGUAAAAUGUAAUGCUUCUAGUAAAUGUUGCUGUGUCUCUGAAGGUUUCCGUCCAUUGCUUUAGGAUGAGGGUCACUGCCUCGGGUACAUUUGUCUUCAAGGAGAGGGAGUGAAAACUAGCCACGGAGAACCAGUCAUGCCUCU